CUUUGGUGGCGACCGGCGCACGGGUGCGUAACGCGUAUGUAACCUACCUAUAACAGGGGCAUAACACUGAGAAAUUGGUACUAAUUCCCCAUAAUAUUCGGAGAGGCAUCUCUCCGGGUUGAAAACUCCGGUGGUUAUAGAUGGACAUGCGUUGUAUUAGCUAGUUGGUGAGGUAACGGCUCACCAAGGCAACGAUACAUAGGGGGACUGAGAGGUUAACCCCCCACACUGGUGCUGAGACACGGACCGGACUCCUACGGGAGGCAGCAUG
rnacentral:rRNA from 1 species